UAGUAGUUUUAAUAAUAAAUGAUUCAGUUAGAUGAUCAUAUUGAUGUUUGAAUAUUCGUGAAUUGGUUUUGUUUGAUGAUUUACUAUGAUGCAUGAGACUGGAGUUUUUAGAUCUGUGGUUUUGGUUUUAUAAAUUAUUGGCUUCGGAUUUAUGUAUUAUACAUUGUGGUUUUCUACCCCUCGAGGUGGUCGGUUUUCAAAAUAGAGUUUCUGAGUGGGAAACAGCUUUUAAAAUGAUUUCGAAUGGUUUUGUAAAUGAUUGAAUUAUAUUCUAAAAACAAAGCUUCCGGGUGGGGAGCACUUUUAAAUAGGAUGAUUGUUGUAUUGUGUAUUGCAUCAUCCAGCG
rnacentral:lncRNA from 1 species